CAGAUUUUGAGUAUUUUCUCCACUAACAAAAAAGCAAACAAAAUGAAUGUUAUGAACAUCUCCAUUGACCAGAAGAAUAACAGGACCACAAGCAUGAGUACUGUGGCUACUGGAGCAGGAAGACUGACAGCUGCAGAGAGCCAACAUCUGUCAUGAAGGUAGCUGCAAUGUCAGAGCAACUGGAAAUGGUACCUUGCCCUGAGGUCAUGAAUACAAAAUCGUGAUUACACGGAGAAGAUUACAACAUGUUUUUCGAUUUCUGAAUAUUCCAAACAUUGAUUAAAUUUAAUGCAAAUAUUAUUGGGGUUAUUCAAACUGUCUAAUAAAUGGAUGAUAAUGUGAUGCACUCAGCUUCUCGCGCCAAGCUCUCUAUUCUUUG